rnacentral:lncRNA from 1 species
UUCAGACAGAAAGUCACUGAGCAUACACUCAAGAACCAUCAAGAAAUGGGGACCUGGAUCUUGUUUGCCUGCCUCCUGGGAGCAGCUUUUGCUAUGCCCCUACCACCUCAUCCUGGGAGCCCUGGUUAUAUCAACUUAAGCUAUGAGGUGCUUACCCCCUUGAAGUGGUACCAGAGCAUGAUAAGGCAGCCGCAUCCCCCGAGUCACACCCUUCAGCCUCAUCACCACCUCCCAGUGGUGCCAGCUCAACAGCCCGUGGCCCCCCAGCAACCAAUGAUGCCAGUUCCUGGCCACCACUCCAUGACUCCAACCCAACACCAUCAGCCAAACAUCCCUCCAUCCGCCCAGCAGCCCUUCCAGCAGCCCUUCCAGCCCCAGGCCAUUCCACCCCAGUCUCAUCAGCCCAUGCAGCCCCAGUCACCUCUGCAUCCCAUGCAGCCCCUGGCACCACAGCCACCUCUGCCUCCACUGUUCUCCAUGCAGCCCCUGUCCCCCAUUCUUCCU